AAGACUAUACUUUCAGAGUUCAUUUCUGUAGUUCAUUACAAGAGAGUAUUUUUUAGGUUUAUAAACAAAAUUUGACAGAAAGCUGA
ensembl:snoRNA U3 Small nucleolar RNA U3